rnacentral:rRNA from 1 species
AAAGCGUGCGUAGGCGGCCAUUCAAGUCAGAGGUGAAAGCCCAGGGCUCAACCCUGGAACUGCCUUUGAAACUAGAUGGCUGGAACACGGGAGAGGUGAGUGGAAUUCCGAGUGUAGAGGUGAAAUUCGUAGAUAUUCGGAGGAACACCAGUGGCGAAGGCGGCUCACUGGCUCGAUACUGACGCUGAGGUGCGAAAGCGUGGGGAGCAAACAGGAUUAGAUACCCGGGU